AGAAAGAAGCUCGUUUUUGGGGAUUCCUCAGUCCCAUGACUCAUUUUGAUGGUGGGAUUGUUGGGUUAUCAAGAAUUCAAUUUGAGGAGGGAAGCCUGGCUUACCACUAUGAAACGGUCAAAGGAAUCACUAACAUAAUGACAUUUACUCAGACUCAGCCUGACAGUGUAAUCCUACAGC